UACAGACAUGCAGAUGGUAGGGUCAGAACACCUGCACAGAAAGUAGCAGCUAAAACAGGCAAAAUGGGUGCGUUUUUCAAGGACCUUGCACUCGCAGUGAAGAGAAUGAAACCAGAGACGUUCGACAGAUUGAAGGAAGCCAUCGGGGAUCUUAUCGUUGAUGCGGAAAUUGAAGAAGCCAAGAAGAAUGAAGAAACAAGUGUUGCGUCGUCCAGCUAAGUUUUAAUUUUCCAAGAUGGCGCAGACUUGGAAGACAGACGAUUUGGAAUCACAAAAAAGAAAAAAGGAAGAAUACGUUCACCCCGUGGACUUAUUUUUCUAUGACGUUUCACGAACGAUAAAAAAAUUUAAGCCGGAAACUAUCGACAGGUUAAAAAAGGCGAUGGCGAGACUUGUCACGGAUGCAAAGUAUGAAGAAAAGCCGGGAAAAGUGAAAGUUGAAAACGACGAAACACAGGGAACUAUAAAAGAUGAAAUUGAAAUAGUGCAACACGAGGUAAAAGCAGAGUUUGAAGAAAUUUAAAUGUCAAAUAUGGAUAUGAUUUUGGCUGGAUUUUGUAUUUGAUAUUAAUCUUAUAAUAAAAUGUAAUUGUUCAAAUAAAUAAUUCA